rnacentral:rRNA from 1 species
CCCAGAGUAAAUUUGGAUUAACUACCCAUAAUAUAUUUGAUAAGGCAUCUUAUUAAUAUUAAAGCUUCGGCACUUGAUGAUGGGUGUGCGGCUGAUUAGAUAGUUGGCGGGGUACCGGCCCACCAAGUCUACGAUCAGUAGCUGAUGUGAGAGCAUGAUCAGCCACACGGGCACUGAGACACGGGCCCGACUCCUACGGGAGGCAGCAGUAAGGAAUAUUGGACAAUGGACGAAAGUCUGAUCCAGCCAUGCCGUGUGAAGGAUUAAGGUCCUCUGGAUUGUAAACUUCUUUUAUAUGGGACGAAAAAAGGGCAUUCUUGUUCACUUGACGGUACCAUAUGAAUAAGCACCGGCUAACUCCGUG